GACGUAGGGUCCAAGCGUUGUCCGGAUUUACUGGGCGUAAAGAGCGCGUAGGCGGUCUUGUAAGUGUGAAGUGAAAUCUCCAGGGCUCAACCCGGAAACUGCUUUACAUACUGCAAGACUGGAGGGAUGCAGAGGUUUGUGGAAUUCCUGGUGUAACGGUGAAAUGUGUUGAUAUCGUUUGGAACGCCAAUGGUGAAAACAGACAGCUGGGAGUGUGCUGACGCUGAGACACGAAAGCCAGGGGAGCGAACGGG
rnacentral:rRNA from 1 species